rnacentral:rRNA from 1 species
GAUGAACGCUGGCGGCGUGCCUAAUACAUGCAAGUCGAACGAAACUUCUUUAUCACCGAGUGCUUGCACUCACCGAUACAGAGUUGAGUGGCGAACGGGUGAGUAACACGUGGGCAACCUGCCCAAAAGAGGGGGAUAACACUUGGAAACAGGUGCUAAUACCGCAUAACCAUAGUUACCGCAUGGUAACUAUGUAAAAGGUGGCUAUACUACCGCUUUUGGAUGGGCCCGCGGCGCAUUAGCUAGCUGGUAGGGUAAAGGCUUACCAAGGCAAUGAUGCGUAGCCGAAUUGAGAGGUUGAUCGGCCACAUUGGGACUGAGACACGGCCCAAACUCCUACGGGAGGCAGCAGUAGGGAAUCUUCCACAAUGGGCGAAAGCCUGAUGGAGCAACGCCGCGUGGGUGAAGAAGGUCUUCGGAUCGUAAAACCCUGUUGUUAGAGAAGAAAGUGCGUGAGAGUAACUGUUCACGUUUCGACGGUAUCUAACCAGAAAGCCACGGCUAACUACGUG